rnacentral:rRNA from 1 species
UACGGAGGGGGCGAGCGUUAUUCGGAAUCAUUGGGCGUAAAGGGCGCGUAGGCGGCCCGGUAAGUCAAAGGUGAAAUCCCUCGGCUCAACUGAGGAACUGCCUUUGAAACUGUCGGGCUUGAGGCCGGGAGGGGGUGGCGGAAUUCCCAGUGUAGCGGUGAAAUGCGUAGAUAUUGGGAAGAACACCCGUGGCGAAGGCGGCUCUCUGGGACGGUACUGACGCUGAGACGCGAAAGCGUGGGGAGCGAACAGG